UACAGAGGUCUCAAGCGUUGUUCGGAUUCAUUGGGCGUAAAGGGCGCGUAGGCGGCGGGGUAAGUCGGGCGUGAAAUCCCACGGCUCAACCGUGGAAGUGCACUCGAAACUGCAUAGCUAGAGUCCUGGAGAGGAAGGUGGAAUGCUUGGUGUAGAGGUGAAAUUCGUAGAUAUCAAGCGGAACACCGGUGGCGAAGGCGGCCUUCUGGACAGUGACUGACGCUGAGACGCGAAAGCGUGGGGAGCAAACAGG
rnacentral:rRNA from 1 species